UACGGAGGGUGCAAGCGUUAUCCGGAUUCACUGGGUUUAAAGGGUGCGUAGGAGGGCAGGUAAGUCAGUGGUGAAAUCUCCAAGCUUAACUUGGAAACUGCCGUUGAUACUAUCUGUCUUGAAUAUUGUGGAGGUGAGCGGAAUAUGUCAUGUAGCGGUGAAAUGCUUAGAUAUGACAUAGAACACCAAUUGCGAAGGCAGCUUACUACAUAGUUAUUGACACUGAGGCACGAAAGCGUGGGGAUCAAACAGG
rnacentral:rRNA from 1 species